rnacentral:rRNA from 1 species
UACGUAGGGUGCAAGCGUUGCCCGGAUUUACUGGGCGUAAAGGGCGCGUAGGCGGCCACCGCAAGUCGAUUGUGAAAUCUCCGGGCUUAACCCGGAAAGGUCAACCGAUACUGCGGGGCUAGAGUGCAGAAGGGGCAACUGGAAUUCUCGGUGUAGCGGUGAAAUGCGUAGAUAUCGAGAGGAACACCUGCGGCGAAGGCGGGUUGCUGGGCUGACACUGACGCUGAUGCGCGAAAGCCAGGGGAGCAAACGGG